UAUUGGUAUUAGAAAAAAGUGUUUGUGAAUUAGACUCAAUUCCUUUUAGGAAAAAACUAAUAAAUUCAUUCUUUUCUACAAAAACAUCUUUCAAAUCAAUUUCAAAAUUUGAAUAAAAUUUUUUUUUUUUAAUUUUACUCCGUAUUUGCUUUAAAUUGGUGUUGUAGCUUAAACAGUUUUAAACGAGAAAUUCUCAUUAAAAUUCAUGCAAACACCAUUAAACUUUGAAACUGAAUAAUUUUUAAUGAGAUUUUUAUUUUUGGUCCAACCCUCUUAUGGUUAUUGAAUACAUUCAACUAAUUUAUACAGUUAAUAUUGUAUAGAAUUCAGUUUGUAAAAACUCUAUGUAUAUUGUACAGUACACCUCUUGUUGGGCAAGGAUCCUACUUUUAAAAAACUCCUCUUUAUGUAGUAUUUUUUGCUCAAAAUACUUAUCUCCUGUAUUUGCUAUUGUAGACCCCCCCCCCCGUACAGUGUAGAUUGGGUUCGUAGUUUGCGAAAAUAUUUUUGAGGAUUUAUCCUCCAAAUGUUCCUUCGUCAUAAAUACAUAGAUAUUUGUAAAUUUAAAUGUUUAGAUUUGAAUAAAAUAUAUUUCAAUUCUCUCUA